UCUGCGGCCAGGCCAGGUUUAUACCGCUGCACCGAAGAGGGCUCUACGCCGUUGUUCAGUUCGUAUUGGAACGUUCUACCGGGCAGUUCGCUGACGAGUGAGAUUCCGCGUUUCGGCGUGCGUUGUUGAGGAGAGAACGUCGCGCAGUCGUCGCUGUGUUGUUUGCUGGUAGCGCCGCAGUAAUUGUACCCGAACCACAUUAUAUUGCCUGGAGUGUGGAUAAUUUUUCGAUUCAAAUUCAACCGUGUGUCUAGCUAGUGACUACCUAGUUGUUUUGUGUGGGCUACGGAGUUAGAACUCCCCCAGUGUGUAUCUGUUGUUUUUUUUUUUUUCAUUCGCCUCCAAGUGAUGCAAAAAAGCACUGUGGGUGCAUGUCAAGAUUUUCUGGAGCUUAAACAGCGUGGCUGAAAAAGUGUACUUAGUGGGUGCUGCACGAGAUCUCUGGGUGAUCGAGCCUCGUUGAAGUGUAUUGAUUAUACUCCAAUAUCGGUGAAGUGUCUACGGGCGGCCUAACAAUCGUCACUGCAACAAAAGAGGUUUCACGGAAGAGGAAUUCCUAACCGUCAUCAUCAAAUAUCUAACAGAAUCGGUAAUAACAGUGAAAAAGUUUUGUGCCAGUGCUGCUUGCUGUUUUGGGGGCUCAAGAGGGUGAUUUAUUUAUUUUCAUUCUUCUGCGGUGAUUAUGGUGCGUGUGGAAGAUCCCAAAAACAGCGAUAAUCAAAAGGAGCAACAAAAAUUGUAAUAACCGAAAAGAAGGUGCUUGAAGAGUAAAUUGGGCAAAAAUAAUAGCAAAUGCUCAGUCCUCCUAAUAUGUAUGUAGUGUAGAGCAGGAGUUUAUGAAGAAGUGUAGUUGAUGAAAACCGUAACACGACGACGGAGCAACAUUUCGAAGUCAAGCAGCGGAAAAGAUAAACCAAGUUCCAGUAUAAACACGGUAAUUGAGGCUUAAGUGGCAGAAAGCAAAACAGAAGCCGAGGCGAUCGGAUCAGUCUGGAUCUGGGAUUAAGGUGUACCAACUGCUGCUUUCAACCGUGCGAUUGUACCACCAAACGUCGUCGAUUACAGUUGUGUGAGGAAUCGUCUUUAAAAGUUGUCCCGGCGCGGGGAGAGCGAGUCGUCACCUGAAAUAACGACUAGUGUGCAUAAAAAAAAGGAAAAAAAAACGAAACUUCCAACGGUAAUCUCGUUUUUUCAGUAUCGUCGAGGUGGAUAUAGUCAUGUAGUGAGGCGCAGAGCGCCAAAAAAACACGAUCGGAUGUGGGAAUUGGAGUGAGGCAGCUCAGUACCCCAUCUAACUAUAAUGGUGAGUUCUGAUUCA